rnacentral:lncRNA from 1 species
AUGAGAAGCCGCACUAUAGAGCUGCAGUGCCAGUGCAAGAAUAUACUCGUCUUCACCAAGGCCUGGAAUUUAUAUUGCAGAAGGUCAUCAAAUUUACAUCACUCCAAGUGGACCAUCUCCAAAUCACCUAGAGCUGCUAUUAUGGACUUUUACAUUUCUGCUCAAGGAAUGACUGGGUUUCAAAGCUUGACCAACAAGAGUUCUUUACAUUGAAAUGCAAUUAAACAAAGCAGAGUACCAAUUAAAGCCAAAGGACACAAGUACUCAGCACAUAUAUGUGUUGAUACAGUACAGUAUGUAUGUGUAUAUAUAUAUAUGCAUAAAUAUGUUUAUGUUACAUUACAAGGAGAGUGCCAUUCAGGACUUCUCAACUGCAAUAAUCCUUUUACUACCUGCAAUUCCUGAAAGUUCUGUCCAUUAAAUUUCACACCAGGACAAUUAAGAAUUUCAGUGUUUUCCAGAUUGGAUUAUUAUUUAGAUUUUAGCCAAUUAACCAAGCAGGGUGCUGAAAGAACAGGAGCAUUAAUUUUACAAACACCAGUCCUGCCACCUCAGGCACAUGGCACAGAUUUCUGUCACCAAAUUAUUUGUGCCUUUCCUCCCCUGCCCUGAGGUGACAUACAAUGGUCAUUUCAUUGUCAUAGUCAUACUAACUGAUCUGUAUCAAUUUACUUAGUUUUCAGAGAAAAUGUAACAAUCAGUGAAAUAAUUCCAAGGAGCCAGUAUGGAUCUGAUAAGAACCCGGGCUUGAGCUUUGCAGCACUGCUUGGAGUCAUACUGCUUUUAAUCAUGUAACAAUUCUCCUGCUAUUUCAUCCCCAGCAAGCCCACUUUUACUUGUAGGUUCCAUGCAUGAUGACAGUUUGGGGUACCACACUACUUAAGUAAGGCUUAGUUAAGAUUCCUAAAACCCAGAGCUGAUAAAGGUCUGUCCUACAAAUUUAACAUACAGAGAUAAAGUCUAAUUUAAAUUACUUUGAACAGAAGGUUUCAUUUGUUACCUAAAAAAAUAAUAGGGGGGAAAAAAAGACAUAAAAUGUAACAGGCACUUAAGAGCACUGUAAAUGCAAGAUUCUUCUGGGACAUUCACAUGGGAGGGGGGUAGGGGGGGGGGAGGAAGCUACUUAUUUCCCUUGCCUUUAGCCCGUCUAGAACUUAGACAUCUAGCCCAGAUUACUCAUUUGUGCUUCCUUUAUUCUUGAAGAAUGAAAAGC